GUACUGCAUCAUUUUAUCAUUACUACUUAUUAGCUUCCUGAUGGCCCAAUAAAUUAGCAAAACAUUUUAAGAGAAAGAGCAGAAAGCUAGAAGCAUUAAAACCAGUACUGCAUCAUAUUCAUGCUAUGAGAUUCUUACAAACCGCAUCAAAUUGGAAAACACUUAAACAGAAAGACUUCACAGCAAAUAAUCUUACGCAUACACCAAGCAGACAAAUUCCAAGCAGACUCUACUACUAUUGCACAUUUUCUAUCUUCUUAACAAAGAAAAGAAGUAGAAAAAGGACAAGUGGCAUUCACUCAAAGACCUG